rnacentral:rRNA from 1 species
GACGAACGCUGGCGGCGUGCUUAACACAUGCGAGUCGAACGGUGAAGGGACUGGUUUUGCUGGUCCUGGAUGAGUGGCGAACGGGUGAGUAACACGUGAGUAACCUGCCCCCUUCUUCUGGAUAACCGCAUGAAAGUGUGGCUAAUACGGGAUAUUCUGGGUCUGUCGCAUGGUGGGCCUGGGAAAGAUUGCGCCUUUUUUGGUGUUUUUGGUGGGGGAUGGGCUCGCGGCCUAUCAGCUUGUUGGUGGGGUGAUGGCCUACCAAGGCGGUGACGGGUAGCCGGCCUGGGAGGGUGGACGGUCACACUGGGACUGAGACACGGCCCAGACUCCUACGGGAGGCAGCAGUGGGGAAUAUUGCACAAUGGGCGCAAGCCUGAUGCAGCGACGCCGCGUGAGGGAUGGAGGCCUUCGGGUUGUGAACCUCUUUCGCCAGUGAAGCAGGCCUGCCUCUUUUUGUGGGUGGGUUGACGGUAGCUGGAUAAGAAGCGCCGGCUAACUACGUG